rnacentral:rRNA from 1 species
GUGCCAGCAGCCGCGGUAAUACAGAGGUCUCAACCGUUGUUCGGAUUCAUUGGGCGUAAAGGGUGCGUAGGCGGUCGCGCAAGUCGGAUGUGAAAUCUCAGGGCUCAACCCUGAAACUGCAUUCGAUACUGCGUGGCUAGAGUGCUGGAGAGGAGACUGGAAUUUACGGUGUAGCAGUGAAAUGCGUAGAUAUCGUAAGGAAGACCAGUGGCGAAGGCGAGUCUCUGGACAGCAACUGACGCUGAGGCACGAAGGCCAGGGGAGCAAACGGGAUUAGAUACCCCGGUAGUCC